rnacentral:rRNA from 1 species
CAAGGAAGGCAGCAGGCGCGCAAAUUACCCACUCCCGGCACGGGGAGGUAGUGACGAAAAAUAACGAUACGGGACUCAUCCGAGGCCCCGUAAUCGGAAUGAGUACACUUUAAAUCCUUUAACGAGGAUCAAUUGGAGGGCAAGUCUGGUGCCAGCAGCCGCGGUAAUUCCAGCUCCAAUAGCGUAUAUUAAAGUUGUUGCGGUUAAAAAGCUCGUAGUCGAAUCUGUGUCGUGCGCCGCCGGUUCAUCGCUCGCGGUGUCAACUGGCGUGCCGCAGGACGUCCUGCCGGUGGACUUAGCCUCGUCGUCGUCUCGCGCGGCUUCGGGGCGGUCCAACUUCAACAAUCCCACCGCGGUGCUCUUCGCUGAGUGUCGAGGUGGGCCGGCACGUUUACUUUGAACAAAUUAGAGUGCUUAAAGCAGGCUAAAACUUCGCCUGAAUACUGUGUGCAUGGAAUAAUGGAAUAGGACCUCGGUUCUAUUUUGUUGGUUUUCGGAACUCCGAGGUAAUGAUUAAUAGGAACGGAUGGGGGCAUUCGUAUUGCGACGUUAGAGGUGAAAUUCUUGGAUCGUCGCAAGACGAACUUAAGCGAAAGCAUUUGCCAAAAACGUUUUCAUUGAUCAAGAACGAAAGUUAGAGGUUCGAAGGCGAUCAGAUACCGCCCUAGUUCUAACCAUAAACGAUGCCAGCUAGCGAUCCGCCGACGUUCCUCCGAUGACUCGGCGGGCAGCUUCCGGGAAACCAAAGCUUUUGGGUUCCGGGGGAAGU